ensembl:processed_transcript
AUUCACAGAAAAGGGAUACUGCACAGGAGAACUACACCAAGCGGAGAUUGCGGUUUAUGCGUUGCGUUUUACGUACGACAGAUUUGACUUCAGAGGAAGAACAUCAGAAGAAGGAGAGGCUACAGAAGGAUUGCUAGCGGUUUCUGCAAUAACCCUGCAGCUUCAAAGAUGACAUGCUCGUGAUGCCUCUGUGCAUUCCAGAGGCCCACCUUGGCAGCUAGAGGAGAGGUCGGCCUCCGCCACCAUGACCGUGUUGCCCCGGGACGUGGCUUCCCUGGCUGUGCCCGGCCUUAUCCUCUGUUUCAUCACUCUUCCAUUUCCGACGAUUCUAUCCCAGAAUCCUC